rnacentral:sRNA from 4 species
AUAUCUCUCUGUACGGGAAGGAUGAGAAGCUUCUACCAGGGUUCGAUUCGAGCGCAGCGAGAAAGCGUUGCCGCA